GGUUAAGCGACUAAGCGUACACGGUGGAUGCCCUGGCAGUCAGAGGCGAUGAAGGACGUGCUAAUCUGCGAAAAGCGUCGGUAAGGUGAUAUGAACCGUUAUAACCGGCGAUGUCCGAAUGGGGAAACCCAGUGCAAUUCGUUGCACUAUCGUUAACUGAAUACAUAGGUUAACGAGGCGAACCGGGGGAACUGAAACAUCUAAGUACCCCGAGGAAAAGAAAUCAACCGAGAUUCCCCCAGUAGCGGCGAGCGAACGGGGAGCAGCCCGGAGUCUGAAUCAGCUUGUGUGUUAGUGGAAGCGUCUGGAAAGUCGCAGGGUACAGGGUGAUACUCCCGUACACUAAAACACACAGGCUGUGAACUCGAAGAGUAGGGCGGGACACGUGGUAUCCUGUCUGAAUAUGGGGGGACCAUCCUCCAAGGCUAAAUACUCCUGACUGACCGAUAGUGAACCAGUACCGUGAGGGAAAGGCGAAAAGAACCCCGGCGAGGGGAGUGAAAAAGAACCUGAAACCGUGUACGUACAAGCAGUAGGAGCCCACUAGUUGGGUGACUGCGUACCUUUUGUAUAAUGGGUCAGCGACUUAUAUUCUGUAGCAAGGUUAACCGAAUAGGGGAGCCGCAGGGAAACCGAGUCUUAACUGGGCGUUAAGUUGCAGGGUAUAGACCCGAAACCCGGUGAUCUAGCCAUGGGCAGGUUGAAGGUUGGGUAACACUAACUGGAGGACCGAACCGACUAAUGUUGAAAAAUUAGCGGAUGACUUGUGGCUGGGGGUGAAAGGCCAAUCAAACCGGGAGAUAGCUGGUUCUCCCCGAAAGCUAUUUAGGUAGCGCCUCGUGAAUUCAUCUUCGGGGGUAGAGCACUGUUUCGGCUAGGGGGUCAUCCCGACUUACCAACCCGAUGCAAACUACGAAUACCGAAGAAUGUUAUCACGGGAGACACACGGCGGGUGCUAACGUCCGUCGUGAAGAGGGAAACAACCCAGACCGCCAGCUAAGGUCCCAAAGUCAUGGUUAAGUGGGAAACGAUGUGGGAAGGCCCAGACAGCCAGGAUGUUGGCUUAGAAGCAGCCAUCAUUUAAAGAAAGCGUAAUAGCUCACUGGUCGAGUCGGCCUGCGCGGAAGAUGUAACGGGGCUAAACCAUGCACCGAAGCUGCGGCAGCGACACUAUGUGUUGUUGGGUAGGGGAGCGUUCUGUAAGCCGUUGAAGGUGGCCUGUGAGGGUUGCUGGAGGUAUCAGAAGUGCGAAUGCUGACAUAAGUAACGAUAAUGCGGGUGAAAAACCCGCACGCCGGAAGACCAAGGGUUCCUGUCCAACGUUAAUCGGGGCAGGGUGAGUCGACCCCUAAGGCGAGGCCGAAAGGCGUAGUCGAUGGGAAACAGGUUAAUAUUCCUGUACUUGGUGUUACUGCGAAGGGGGGACGGAGAAGGCUAUGUUGGCCGGGCGACGGUUGUCCCGGUUUAAGCAUGUAGGCGGAUGUUCCAGGUAAAUCCGGAACGUUACUAACGCUGAGGUGUGAUGACGAGGCACUACGGUGCUGAAGUGACAAAUGCCCUGCUUCCAGGAAAAGCCUCUAAGCAUCAGGUAACAUCAAAUCGUACCCCAAACCGACACAGGUGGUCAGGUAGAGAAUACCAAGGCGCUUGAGAGAACUCGGGUGAAGGAACUAGGCAAAAUGGUGCCGUAACUUCGGGAGAAGGCACGCUGAUGGUAAGUGAAGUGACUUGCUCAUGGAGCUGAAAUCAGUCGAAGAUACCAGCUGGCUGCAACUGUUUAUUAAAAACACAGCACUGUGCAAACACGAAAGUGGACGUAUACGGUGUGACGCCUGCCCGGUGCCGGAAGGUUAAUUGAUGGGGUUAUCCUCGCGGAGAAGCUCUUGAUCGAAGCCCCGGUAAACGGCGGCCGUAACUAUAACGGUCCUAAGGUAGCGAAAUUCCUUGUCGGGUAAGUUCCGACCUGCACGAAUGGCGUAAUGAUGGCCAGGCUGUCUCCACCCGAGACUCAGUGAAAUUGAACUCGCUGUGAAGAUGCAGUGUACCCGCGGCAAGACGGAAAGACCCCGUGAACCUUUACUAUAGCUUGACACUGAACACUGGUCCUUGAUGUGUAGGAUAGGUGGGAGGCUUUGAAGUGUGGACGCCAGUCUGCAUGGAGCCAUCCUUGAAAUACCACCCUUUAAUGGCUGGUGUUCUAACGUGGGCCCGUGAUCCGGGUUGCGGACAGUGUCUGGUGGGUAGUUUGACUGGGGCGGUCUCCUCCUAAAGAGUAACGGAGGAGCACGAAGGUCAGCUAAUCCUGGUCGGACAUCAGGAGGUUAGUGCAAUGGCAUAAGCUGGCUUGACUGCGAGCGUGACGGCGCGAGCAGGUGCGAAAGCAGGUCAUAGUGAUCCGGUGGUUCUGAAUGGAAGGGCCAUCGCUCAACGGAUAAAAGGUACUCCGGGGAUAACAGGCUGAUACCGCCCAAGAGUUCAUAUCGACGGCGGUGUUUGGCACCUCGAUGUCGGCUCAUCACAUCCUGGGGCUGAAGUAGGUCCCAAGGGUAUGGCUGUUCGCCAUUUAAAGUGGUACGCGAGCUGGGUUUAGAACGUCGUGAGACAGUUCGGUCCCUAUCUGCCGUGGGCGCUGGAGAAUUGAGGGGGGCUGCUCCUAGUACGAGAGGACCGGAGUGGACGCAUCACUGGUGUUCGGGUUGUCAUGCCAAUGGCAUUGCCCGGUAGCUAAAUGCGGAAGAGAUAAGUGCUGAAAGCAUCUAAGCACGAAACUUGCCCCGAGAUGAGUUCUCCCUGACCCUUUAAGGGUCCUGAAGGAACGUUGAAGACGACGACGUUGAUAGGCCGGGUGUGUAAGCGCAGCGAUGCGUUGAGCUAACCGGUACUAAUGAACCGUGAGGCUUAACCUU
rnacentral:rRNA from 1 species